UACGUAGGGGCAAGCGUUACUCGGAUUCACUGGGCGUAAAGCGCGUGUAGGCGGCUGGUCAAGCGUGGUGUGAAAUCUCCGGGCUCAACCCGGAAACUGCACCGCGAACUGGCCUGGCUGGAGUGCAGGAGAGGGAAGGGAAUUCCGGUGUAGCGGUGAAAUGCGUAGAUAUCGGGAGGAACACCGGUGGCGAAGGCGGUUCUCUGGGCCUGUACUGACGCUGAGGAGCGAAAGCGUGGGGAGCGAACAGG
rnacentral:rRNA from 1 species